AGAGAGCAAGCGGCAUGGUGUUAGGUGUAAGGAUGGUCGUAAAGAGGAUUAAUUAAUAUAACGGGAUCUUAUCGGGAGAUGCUUGAUGUUGAUUGCUCCUUUUCGUCGCAUAUGGAUGAUCAGACCAAGUUGCUGUAUGUCAUACGAUGAACUAUGUACAUGUGCAAUAGAGGGGAGAGGGGCAUAUGACAGGAGAGCACCAUGAGUACGUUAGGGACAAGUGAAGUUUUUAAUAGAAACCAGGCUAUAAAAGAGUUAAACUCGUAUUGUUGUUAAAAUUAUUUGUAUGCGUUUGUGUAAUUUUGUUGCCUCGUUUUUAUUUUUUGUGUUAAAUAACUUAUAGAUUUUUAAUGUAUUUGGUCGUUUAUAAAAGUAAUGUUUAAGAAGCGUUUUUCGAUCGGCAUUAAAUUGUUUGCAUUCUAAUAAGUAUUGGAAUUCAUCCCGAAUUUUGUUACAUGUUGUACAGGUUCUUAAACCAAUAGGUGUUCUGUUCCAAUUUCCAACUUCAAUCGGUAGCCUGUGGUUUCUUGUCCUGAUUCUUAUUACAAAUUUUAGAAAUGCAUGUGAUGUGUUUACUAAAUAUGAUUCAAAGCUGAGAUUUCUUUUAAUCAGUUUAUAGAAAGUACUAUAAAUACAGUUAUCAAGUGAUGAUAACCAUUCAUUUAUAAACAGGUCUUUAAGAUUAUGCUUAAUAAAUAGUUUAAGCCAGUCAAUGCUAGGGUAACUGUGUGAGCUCCACACAUGCAUAAUUCCACAUGUUAUUAAAAUUGAUUUGACAUUGAAAAACCAGGGAUAAAGGCGUGUAAGUGACUGAUCGUCAAGAUGUUUGCAUGUAUU